AACUUCACAUAAUUCCCAUGCAAAUGGCCAGAACUAGAAAAUAUCAUCCUGAGUUAGGUAACCCAGUCACAAAAGAAGACACAUGGUAUGUACUCACUGACAAGUAGCUAUUAGCCCAAAACCUCACAAUGCCCAUGAUUCAACCCACAGACCAUCUGGAGGAAGGAAGACCGGGGUGUGCAUGCUUCUUCAGUCCUGCCUUCAGGAGGGAACAGGAUCAUCGCAGAAGGUGGAAGAAGAGGGGAACCUGGAAGGAAGAGAAGAUGGGAAGGAAAUAAGGGAGCAGCAUCAUGUACUGGAGAGGACGGAAGAGAGGUACAGAGAGUCAGAAAAUUGAGGAAAAGUAUGUAGCAGGGGGGAAUUAGUAAAUGGGGAUAGCCACUGAAGGAUUCCAGGGAGAAGAAAGGCUCCAAGGACCCAAUGGGGUUGACUCUAGCCAGAAUGAGAAGAGAAUUAGGAGAUAGAACCUGUAGAGACCACUUCCAGCAAAUAGGCAUGGUGCCUAGUAGAGAGAUGAGGGCACCCACCCAUCUCAAAGUUUUUAACCCAAAAAUGUUCCUGUCCAAAGAAAGAACAGGGACAAAAAUUGGAGCAGAGACUGAAGGAAGGGACACCCAGGGACUGUACGACUUAGGCAUCCAUCACGUCUGCAGACACCAAAUCUUUCACUGUUCCUGUGGUCAAGAGGCACUUACUGACAGGAACCUGGUGUGGCUGCCCCUUGGGAGGUCAGGCCAGCAACUGAGCAAUGCAGAUGUAGAAGCUUGGAGGCAACCAUCAGACUGAGCUCAGAAACCCCAUGGGGGGCGGGGAAGCUGACAGAAGGACUGGAGGAGCUGAGGUGGAUUGCAACCCCGUAGGAAGAACAUCAUCAGCUGACUGGACCAUCCCGUACUCUCAGAGACUAGACCAUCAAUCAAGGAAUAUACAAAGAGGGAUCCAUGACUCCAGAUAUGGAGCAUAUGUAGAAGAGGAUGACCGUGCCUGACAGUAAUGGGAGAUUUGCGGGGUGCAUGGAAAUCAAUCUUGUGAAGGAAGCAGUAGGACGAAGAGCUGGAGAGCAAGAACCACAUCUUCUCAGAGUCCUGACUGAAGAUGCCUCCAGGAACAUUGACAGUAAAAGAACUGAAGCCAGGACAGCGGCUGCUUCCUUUUUCCUUUUCUUUUUUCCACAGAAGUCCUAACAGGUCCUCAUUAUCCCCUCCCCUGUUCCUUCUGAGUAACCUUGUCUCACAGAGCUUUCAUUGGGGCACUGUGAUGGUGUGGUGAGACACGAUUGACUGAGGGUUUAGGGGCUUGAGAUUGGCUCAAACACUAUAUAAGCGUAUGUGCUUUGCAAUAAACUCAGAUCUGCAUCCUGA